CUUGUGAAGAACUUAAGAAAUCGCUGUUUUUUUCUGAUCUUUCUUCAGGUCGUAUUUGUCUCCCUGCAAACCUGAAAACCUUUCUGCUGAUCCCUGGGACAACAGUCCCUUCAAGUUGAUCACAGUGCAUGGAAAGAAGAAGUCCUCUCAGACAAACUACUUUGUUAAAGCCACCAAGGUGACCUGCUGUGCCCAGCUGUGGGCAGAAGGCAGCCUUUCCUGCACUGCCAAGGGAGUGUAGAAGCUGUCUGGCAUUGGCAUGCCUGGCAUUUCAUGCAUGGUGCCUAACACUAGCACAGUCAAGCCCAGGUUUCCAGGUAUGUUCUUUCUGGGCUUAAUUCUACCAUCAUGUACCAGAGCAAGUAGUAGCUUAUUCAUCAGUGAAUUUCACUCAGUCUUAGUCAGGGAGAUGGAAUUGGUCCUACAAAAGCAACAAUAGCUUUUUACCUGCGUCCUUUCCAACACUCCUUGUGUGGUCUUCCCACCACAGUAACAAACAGAAGCUCCCAGAAAGCGCCAGCAAGUUCAGAGAGAUCUGGCUCCUCAAGUUUGAAUUUUAUCAGGUGGUGUUUGCUUUAAGACCUUGAGCUACAAAAUAUCCUUUCUAGUAUUGAACUCCUGGGAAGACCUAAACCCUUCAAUGCAAUGGAGAACUAAACACUUUUAAAUAUACUUAUCUAAUGGAUGUUAGUACUGACUUUUGUGCAUGCAGCUUCUAACAUGAAUCUACCUAGCCUCUGCUUUCAGAGACCAAAGAUUAAAAUUACUUCAUCUUCUGGUCAAGAAGUCCUUAUAUUUGAUAACAGGAGUGGAUUACAAUCUCUCCCACUCUCCCUGCUAUUACCCUUCCAUCUGUUCCUGCUCAACAUAUAUGUUCUGGACAUAUAUGGACAUUGAGGAAGAGGUUUUGUGCCUACCAGCAGCUACAAUACUUGUGUGAGUACUUCAGCCUGGUGCAUGGUGAUCAAGUGAAGCCAUGGGUUAACAACUGAAUAACUGAGCACAGCACCUCAGUACCAGCUUGCUCUGUGUGCAGUUCCUCAUCUCAGGUAUUUCUGAAAUACUUUUCUGACUUUUUAUUUUCUUUCAUUUAGGUCACAUCCAACUCCAUAUUGCAAGGUGCUGAGUAACAGCUUAUGAUCUCUAACACGUAAUGGCUCCAGGGUUUGUUUACCAACAUCCACUGGAGACUCCAGCUUUUCUGUAGAAACAGAAACUGAGCCCAGGCUUAUCCAGAGGUGAACGUUUUUUCUUCUCCUGUAAUUAACUCAAGAUUUCAAAAUUUUCCAGAUGAAAAGUUGCAGAAAUUUUAAGGAAGCCCAGAAGUCCACAUGGGCGCAUCCAUAGAGAAGACAGCCACAGCUCAGCUUCCUGUUUUACCUCUUGGACUGCUGUGUCCCUCUGAGACAGACUCCAUUGAGAUCUCUGUGAAAUGGAUGAUGUGACUUACCAGUAUCAUACAAGCUGUUCCAAGAAUAUCAGCAGGCGGACUGGAGACUUACCUGAGAAGGUUUUACCCAGUGAUGGAAAAUAUAUUUGUGUUAUUACUUUAGCACAAGUGUCUUCUAUAAUGCUAAGGUUUACUUUCAAAUAAAACAUAAAUUGCA